rnacentral:siRNA from 1 species
AGUGUGGAUCUUCUUCUUCAUC